rnacentral:rRNA from 1 species
UACGUAGGGUGCGGGCGUUAAUCGGAAUUACUGGGCGUAAAGCGUGCGCAGGCGGUUUUGUAAGCCAGAUGUGAAAUCCCCGGGCUUAACCUGGGAAUGGCAUUUGGGACUGCAAGGCUGGAGUGUGGCAGAGGAGACUGGAAUUCCUGGUGUAGCAGUGAAAUGCGUAGAUAUCAGGAGGAAUACCGAUGGCGAAGGCAGGUCUCUGGGCUGACACUGACGCUCAUGCACGAAAGCGUGAGGAGCAAACAGG